GACGAUAUAUGAGGAUAUUAUUUGUUUGAUAUCGCUAAAGGAGAGGUUUUUAGUGGCCAUUCGAUUCUGUAGCUUAACAGAAUAUUUUGUGUUGAGAUGGAAUAUUGUGGAACUUUUUUGAUAGAGAAAGUAUUAAACAUGAUUAAAAUUGAACAACAUGUUAGUUGGGGUGUUUAAUUAAAAUAAUUGAAGUUUAGGGAUAUUUGUCAACAUAACAUAUAGUUGAGAUUGUCUAUUAAUUUUGUGGUAUAUAGUUUUAUAAUUUUAUGGCCACUUCUUGGGUAACCUUUUGGGCGGGGAUUUUUUCUAAAUAAGCCCAAUUAUUUUUCAUUUGCUUUUAAUCGGCAAAAAACAUAGUUGAAUUUGGUAGGAGAUAUGCUGUAGCUAUAUGUAAUAUAAAGUGGAAACAUAGUUGAAUAUGGUAGGAGAUAUGCUAUAGCUAUAUGUAAUAUUAAAUGGAUGACUUGGCCAAUACCUCUAAACAACCAAUUUAAAGUAAACAGUAGUUAGUUAAACACAAUAUUUCUCUCUCUUUCUGUUGUGCUUUUUACUGGGUUGCAUCGAGCAUAUUGCUACUAGGAUAACUUUGUUUGGCUGAUAACCUCUAAACAACCAAUUUAAAGUAAACAGUAGUUAAUUAAACACAAUAUUUCUCUCUUUCUGUUGUGCUUUUUACUGGGUUGCAUCGAGCAUAUUGCUACUAGGAUAACUUUGUUUGGAAAUGGGAUUUCUUGGCUUAUUUGUUGAGUGUGUAGAUGAAUUUUGAUUGAUCUCAGGAACAAGAUCCAUGAUCUAUUAGUUUUAUUGAGGUUCAGUUCAAGAUGCUGAAGUAGUGAGCUGUUUCUGUUUCAAACAUUGUCUUUUUCUUAUAAUAAUAAUUAUUAAAGUGGCCCAUGUUGUCUCAUAAAUUUUCCUUUUAGUUGGCGUGACACCUCAUGUUGUUAUGUUUGUAUGCUCACUUGGUGUAAUCUAACUUUGGUGCUUCAGAG
rnacentral:lncRNA from 1 species